UGUUAUGUAUUUUUCACACAAAACACCGCA
rnacentral:piRNA from 1 species